GCAGGCUGCAACUCGCCUGCGUGAAGUCGGAAUUGCUAGUAAUCGUAGGUCAGCAUACUACGGUGAAUACGUUCCCGGGCCUUGUACACACCGCCCGUCAAACCAUGAGAGUUGGCAACACCCGAAGUCGGUAGUCUAACCGCAAGGAGGACGCCGCCGAAGGUGGGGUUGAUGAUUAGGGUUAAGUCGUAACAAGGUACC
rnacentral:rRNA from 1 species